GGACCUUUAGCUCAGUUGGUUUAGAGCAGACGGCUCAUAACCGUCCUGUCGUAGGUUCGAGUCCAUUUAGGCCCA
rnacentral:tRNA from 1 species